rnacentral:rRNA from 1 species
AGUGAACGCUGGCGGUAGGCCUAACACAUGCAAGUCGAACGGCAGCACAGUAAGAGCUUGCUCUUACGGGUGGCGAGUGGCGGACGGGUGAGGAAUACAUCGGAAUCUACUUUUUCGUGGGGGAUAACGUAGGGAAACUUACGCUAAUACCGCAUACGACCUACGGGUGAAAGCAGGGGAUCUUCGGGCCUUGCGCGAUUGAAUGAGCCGAUGUCGGAUUAGCUAGUUGGCGGGGUAAAGGCCCACCAAGGCGACGAUCCGUAGCUGGUCUGAGAGGAUGAUCAGCCACACUGGAACUGAGACACGGUCCAGACUCCUACGGGAGGCAGCAGUGGGGAAUAUUGGACAAUGGGCGCAAGCCUGAUCCAGCCAUACCGCGUGAGUGAAGAAGGCCUUCGGGUUGUAAAGCCCUUUUGUUGGGAAAGAAAAGCAGCAGGUUAAUACCCCGCUGUUCUGACGGUACCCAAAGAAUAAGCACCGGCUAACUUCGUG